GACGAACGCUGGCGGCGUGCUUAACACAUGCAAGUCGAACGGAAAGGCCCUGCUGUUGUGGGGUGCUCGAGUAGCGAACGGGUGAGUAACACGUGAGUAACCUGCCCUUGACUUUGGGAUAACUUCAGGAAACUGGGGCUAAUACCGGAUAGGAGCUCCUGCUGCAUGGUGGUGGUUGGAAAGUUUCGGCGGUUGGGGAUGGACGCGCGGCUUAUCAGCUUGGUGGUGGGGUAGUUGCUUACCAAGGCAUUGACGGGUAGCCGGCCUGAGAGGGUGACCGGCCACAUGAGGACUGAGGUACGGCCCAGACUCCUACGGGAGGCAACAGUGGGGAAUAUUGCACAAUGGGCGGAAGCCUGAGGCAGCAACGCCGCGUGCGGGAUGACGGCCUUCGGGUUGUAAACCGCUUUCGCCUGUGACGAAGCGGGAGUGACGGUACUGGGUAAAGAAGCACCGGCUAACUACGUG
rnacentral:rRNA from 1 species